rnacentral:sRNA from 1 species
UUGUUUAGCGUCGUGUAUUCAGACACGACGUUUUUUUUAUGUUCUUUUUUAAUAAGAGGGAAGUGAAGUUGUAUAAAAAUGUAUUAAAUAUGCACUUUUUAUACAUUAACGAUUAAUAUA